AGCAGCCGCGGUAAUUCCAGCUCCAAUAGCGUAUAUUAAAGUUGUUGCAGUUAAAAAGCUCGUAGUUGAAUUUCGGGAUUCAUCCGUUGGUCGGGCUUCACGGUCCGUACUGGUGUGAUGGGUUCCUACCUUCUGAAUAACCGGCAUGCCAUUAAUUUGGUGCGCCGGGGAAGCAGAACUAUUACCUUGAAAAAAUUAGAGUGCUUAAAGCAGGCAAGUGCCUGAAUAGGUUAGCAUGGAAUAAUAAAAUAGGACGGCAUGGUUCUAUUUUGUUGGUUUCUAGGAUCACCGUAAUGAUUAAUAGGGAUAGUUGGGGGCAUUAGUAUUCAAUUGUCAGAGGUGAAAUUCUUGGAUUUAUUGAAGACUAACUUCUGCGAAAGCAUUUGCCAAGGAUGUUUUCAUUAAUCAAGAACGAAAGUUAGGGGAUCGAAGACGAUCAGAUACCGUCGUAGUCUUAACCAUAAACUAUGCCGACUAGGGAUCGGACGAUGUUAAUUUUUUAAUGACUCG
rnacentral:rRNA from 1 species